CUACGGGUUGCAGCAGUGGGGAAUAUUGCACAAUGGGCGCAAGCCUGAUGCAGCCAUGCCGCGUGUAUGAAGAAGGCCUUCGGGUUGUAAAGUACUUUCAGCGGGGAGGAAGGGAGUAAAGUUAAUACCUUUGCUCAUUGACGUUACCCGCAGAAGAAGCACCGGCUAACUCCGUGCCGGCAGCCGCGGUAAUACGGAGGGUGCAAGCGUUAAUCGGAAUUACUGGGCGUAAAGCGCACGAAGGCGGUUUGUUAAGUCAGAUGUGAAAUCCCCGGGCUCAACCUGGGAACUGCAUCUGAUACUGGCAAGCUUGAGUCUCGUAGAGGGGGGUAGAAUUCCAGGUGUAGCGGUGAAAUGCGUAGAGAUCUGGAGGAAUACCGGUGGCGAAGGCGGCCCCCUGGACGAAGACUGACGCUCAGGUGCGAAAGCGUGGGGAGCAAACAGGAUUAGAUACCCCCGUAGUC
rnacentral:rRNA from 1 species